AGGGAACCGGGCACCGGGCACCAGCGCUCGAUUUUCCGAGUCCUACUUUCUUUUCGGAGCCCGCUGGGAUAUGUAGUUCCUUCUCUCGUCGUCCAACUCUGGGAGCAAACGUGACUUAAGGAUCUAAAACUACAAGUCCCUGCAUCCCCUGCGACGAAGGCGGUGAGGCAAGGUACAAGGCUUUGUGGUGCUCGGCGUUUGUGAGAUCAACAAAGACAGCUUUGGAAAAGGUGCUUUCUCUGUACGGGGUGGUUAUUUGCACACUGCCCGCGUUCUGUGUAAUCCUCACCACAACCCUGCCAUGCACUAUUGUACCAAACUCAAAGAAACUGCUUGCCCAACACUACAAAGCUGCCCAGUGAUAGAGAUGGCACUGAACCCAGAGCUCUGUCUUUCCAUUACAAAGCAUGCCUCAGUGCUCCGUGUCAAAGGGAGAUAAGCUUGGCUAGCCAAAAGAGAAAAAGAAUGUAACCAGCUGGGAAGUGGUGGGAAUAUAAAUGUUAAUUAGAUAGGACGAGGAAUUAAGAGAAGUUAAAAGCAAGUGCGAUUCUUAGGGGCUGGAUGGGACCUUUUCUUUGUUUGCUCAAGACAAGCCCGGAGUCACCCACUGCACUGUCUUCAGAUUCGGUCCCCUUUGACACAGACCGCUUCCUUUCUUUGAGCUCCUUCGUCUCAGAAUCGUGGCGGAGUACAGGCCAUGCAUCUUGUAAGCGAUCCGUUUGAGUUUGCCUACAGUCUCUUCAUAAUCACAUUCAGCAGCAGGCUCGUGCAAGGUCCCAGCGGUGUUACACAGGAAACGGUGGCAGACAGCGGGGCAGACACCAUCGUUUGGCUGCUGUGACUGAAACUGCAUGGUGCUGUCUCGGUUGGCUGGCUGCUUCUGGGCCUCCAGGUCUCAGAAUAAGUCCAUACUCUCUGUCUACCCAAGCUGGGUAAACUAAGGUUGUUGAACAAGCACGGCCAUGCCUGGGACCCUAAAUUCAGAUCCCAAGAAACGAAAAGGAUGCACUCUGUUUUCAUGGCAUGCAGAGAUGCAAAGGUGGUGUUGAUGAAUUGCAAAGUGUGCAACAGCAGCAUGUGCUCUGUGUGGGCGUGCUUGUGUGUGUGUGUGUGUGUGUGUGUGUGUGUGUGUGUGUGUGUCUGCAGCAGCAGCACAUGCCCUGUGUAAAGGAAAGACUCUUCUUUAUCUGAGAUCAAGCCAGGGGAGACCACAGGUGCACACAGCAAGGCUCUGAGGCUCCAACUGGAGCUUGGUACUGGAGUUCCUCAUCCUCCCCAACCCCCACAGUCCACACCCACUUGCUAACCAAAGAGCUGAAGUGAAACAAAGAAACACUUCCCCCUUCUAGAGACAGGGCUCAGUCAGAGAGAAUCCCUGAAGAACCCAAAGUGGAUUUAAGAAGUUUCUGCUCUCAUCUUUAAAGAAGGAAUCUGGGAAGCUUGUCCUGGUGGACUCUCAGUGUAUGGGAGGAAGAGGCAAGAGAAUUGUUAGUUCUUUGCCAUCCUGGACUCCAUGAAAAGAGUAUCUCAGAGAGGAAAUAGAUUUUGAGAAAUGCUUGCUGCUACUUCUGGAUUAGUAAAACCACACAUGCCGCUUGCAUUUCUUCUCUGGAUACUUGGAAAUGGCUGGCAUCCUGUGGACACUUGGCACGAAUAAAACUCGAUUGGACUAUGGACUGAUACUGCCUACCUCAAA